rnacentral:rRNA from 1 species
UACGUAGGGUGCAAGCGUUAAUCGGAAUUACUGGGCGUAAAGCGUGCGCAGGCGGUUUUGUAAGUCUGACGUGAAAUCCCCGAGCUUAACUUGGGAAUUGCGUUGGAGACUGCAAGGCUGGAGUCUGGCAGAGGGGGGGUAGAAUUCCACGUGUAGCAGUGAAAUGCGUAGAGAUGUGGAGGAACACCGAUGGCGAAGGCAGCCCCCUGGGUCAAGACUGACGCUCAUGCACGAAAGCGUGGGGAGCAAACAGG